rnacentral:lncRNA from 1 species
AAAUACAUUGAUAUGUGUGUGUGAUGUCUGUAUUUAUAUGAUGUGUAUAUACGGAUUUGUGUGUAUGUGUAAAGUGCAUAACUAUAUAUAUACAAUACAUUAAUAUAUACGUUGAUGUAUAUGACCAUAUAUACACUUAUUAUUACUAUAUACCUUUAUUAACGUAUAUGUACACUGAUUUAUAUACUACAUACACUCACUGUCACACUCACUCUCAUUCUCACCCUCACACUCACACUCACACUCGCUCACUCAUACACACACACACUCACACACUUACACUCACACUCACACUCGCACCAGUACUCUCACUCUCACUCGCACUCACACUGACAUUGACACUUACACACACUCACUCACACUCACACUCACAAAUAUAUAUACUAUCACUUGUAAUCAAAUAUGCAAUUGCGAAAUUCCUUAUUACUUUGUAAAAAAUUAAGCAUAAGAAUGGGUUUCUUCUGGUGAUGAAUUGGGUAUGUUGAAUACCCUAUUAUGAUAGUCCAUGUAAAUUUUUUAUCUUAUUUGUACUUGUUUUUUAUUAUUAUUGAUGAGCUUCAUCUUCAUUGAGUUUUCUUGUAAAUCAACAAGCACGAAAGCAACUUAUCAUAGAGGCGGAUCUCUUUACGUUAUUUGAUAUUUGAGAUCUUGAUAUUGCAAGCUUGAUUUGCUUGAUGGUUCUUUCUUCUCUAUUAUAGUAUUGCUCUUGCUUCUUUCAUGCAAAUAUAGUGUGAAUUUUCUAGAGCUUUACUUGUGGCUUGCAAUUUUAUUAAGUAACUUUUUCUUAACACACACACUCUUGCUUCUUUCAUGCAAAUAUGGAGUUAAUUUUCUGGAGCUUUACUUGUGUUUUUGCAAUUUUAUUAAGGAACUUUUUCUUUACACGCACACAUGCACCACACACACACACACUCACACUCACUCUCUCACUCACACUCACACUCACACUAAUGUAUAGGAAUGGGUUUAUAUAUACACUAAUGUAUAAGGCCAUGUAUAUACUUAUUAUCAGUGAUAUAUACAGUUAUCAGCUCUAUAUGUUUAUGUAUUGAUGUAUAUAAGCAUAGAAUACAUUAGUUAUCGGUUAUAUAUACAAUUACUAGUGUGUGAAAAAUACAUUGAUGUGUGUAUGAUGUUUGUGUAUGUGUAAAGUACAUAACUGUAUAUAUACAGUGUAUUAAUAUUUACUUUUAUGAAAAUACUGUUAAUGGCACAAAUUAAAGCUCAAAGCAUAAUUUUUUACUGAUAAAUAAGAAGCAGAGAGUGUGACUACAAAACCAAGUAAUCAAUAUUUUAUUGUUGAUUGUGUAAACUGUAAACUUACAAGAGCAAGCAAUUGUACAUAUAGGAUUAGUUCCCCAAACUUAAUCCUUCAGCUCUGUUUCCUCAAGAAAAUGAAAAGCCCUCUUCAAACUAUCCCAAAUCAGAGAGAAAAACCCUUUUCAAACUAUCCCAAAUCAGCUUUUCAUCUUUCUAAAUCAGCAUCCCAUCGUCCUUUUCUCUCUCUAAAAAUCAGUUAAGGCCUCUUCCAUUAGGGUUCUUUCUUUUCUCUCUCUAAAAAUCACUUAGGGCGGCCCCUUCUAUUAGGGUUUGUGAAAACUAUUUUCUUCUUCUUUCUUCUUGCUAUAAACCCUAAUGGCUAUGAGCCGAGCCAUAUUUUCUUCUCUUCCUUUCCUUCGUCGUUCUUCUUCUUCUCUUUACACAGUAAACAUAGAUGUAAAUCCCAAAUUUAUAUGAACUUCUUCCAACUAAAGAAAUUUAUAAAACUUUAACCAUAGUUAUGGAGUGACCAUAGACACCAUACCAUAAUUAAAUAACUAUCGUGACAAAACAAAAAUCGUGUGUUUAUGUUUUGGUACCUGCUAAGUAGGAGUUAUGUUUAAGUAUUUAAUAAAUAAAUUUAUAGUAUAUUUAUUUGUUUUUGUAUGUAAUAAGUAAGUGUGAUGUUUCUUAAAGUAUUUAAUUGGUAGAUUUAUAUGGUACUUUUUUUGGUAUAUACUAAUUAAUUAUGUAUUUAAUAUUGGAUGAGAGUCACAAGACAUCUAAAUUAAUUGACUUAAUUAUAUUAGUUUAGUAAAGUUUUUAUAGAUGAAUUAGUAAUUGAUGGCUUUGACAAAAUUUUUAUUUUUUAGAAUUUCAAAAUUUCUAAUAUGAUAAAUUUAUCCGAUUUUUUUACUCUACUUUUUUUAGCCUAAUCCGAUAUAUUAGCGAUAUCUUUAUAUGAAGUAUUUUUACCAAUCCGUAUUUUUUAUCCAAUUUUUUCAUCUGAUUUUCAAAAUAAAAACGAUUUAUUUCCGAUAUGUAUAUACUGAUAUGUUUAUGCGUGUAUGUAUAAACUUGCUAUCAGUCAUGUACACGCUGAUAUGCGCACACACAUGCACCCUUACGUAUUGACAGUGCAUAUAUACACUUCUAUAUACACUGAUAUAAAUGGCCUUAUAGACACUUAUUAUCAGCUUAUACAGUUAUUAGUGUAUAUGUACAUCGAAAUGUAUAUACG